rnacentral:tRNA from 1 species
GCCUUGGUAACUCAGUUGGUAGAGUGCCUGGCUGUUAACCAGGAUGCCGCAGGUUCGAGUCCUGCCCAAGGCG